CCAUUUCCGAAAGCAAAUUGCUACUUGUGGUUCUGGCUUCACGGCAAAGCGGUUCCGCCAUUAGCUGCAGAUGAUGUACCAAAAUAGUCUGUGCGUAUUUUGGAGUGGGCAAGAGGGCAGUGAAGUAUUAUUGCUUAUAGCUUACCGACCACUUCCGACGACAGCUUGAGGCGGCGUGAUGGGAUGAAGCAGUGCACAGCUUGCAUACAGAAGGCAACAAUUGCCCCCUUCCAGGUCUGUUUCCAGAGCAUGCUGCCGCAACUAUUUUUUGGCAUUAGCGAAAUGCGAGAUUUAGUUAACAAGAGUUCAGACAUCCGCAUGAGGGAGGAGAAACAAGCCCGGAGAACAAAAUCUAAAAUUCAAG